rnacentral:lncRNA from 1 species
GUUUGGUGUAGGCAUCACUUCCCAAUCACACACAGGACACUCGUGCUCCUAUCGGAGCAAAGGGGACAGUAAAACCCCAGCCAGGGCUGGCUGAGCCUCCGAGCUGAGGGCUCCCUCUGACACAGGAAGCCCCAGCCCCAGCACUGACCUUUGGUCCUUGCAGGUCUUCUUCAGCAGGGACCAGAGCCGGGCCCAGCUGGUCAUCGAUGGGCUGCGAGCCCAAGAUGCUGCAAUGGCCACCUCGGGGCUCUUUGUGGCCCAACGGCCCUUGUAUGUAGGAGGGCUUCCAGCUGGCAAAGCCAAGGCUCCCGUACCGGUAAGGGCUCAGUAGUCCUGCGGCAUCCUCCUGUCGCUGCCCUUUCGCACUGCCCUGUGCCUCCCGGUUUUCAGCCCCUCAGUGCUCACUCCCGUGGUUUCCCUGCAGGUCUCCAGCUUUGACGGCUGCCUGAGGAACCUACAGCUGGACGGGAGGCCCCUGGGUCCCCCCUCGCGCACCUUUGGGGUGAUGCCAUGCUACGAGGGCGCACUGGAGAGCGGGGUCUUCUUCACUGCGGACGGCGGGGCCAUCAUCCUGGCUGAUGCGGUGGUGACCGAGCAGGACUUGGAGGUGACGCUGGAGGUCCGUCCCCACAGCGCUUCUGGCCUCGUCUUCUACAUUGGCACAAGGAGAAGGCACCUUCUGCUGCUGUACAUGGAGGAGACAAAGGUAAUGCGAGGUGGUUUCCCCAGAGGCUUUCAGAGGCAGCAGCAGUCUCCUGCCCACGCCACCCUGCUCACUGGUUCUAAUGGGUUUGUCUCACACACCAGGUCACUCUGAGAGCAAACGUUGGUGCUGAUGAGUUCUCCACAUCGGUGACGUGCCCAUCGCUCUGCGACGGGCAGUGGCACAGCAUCGCAGGUGAGGGGACAGCCAGCACUUGGCUCUGGGACACUGCUCCCCUCCUGCUGCUCAGCCCUCAGCUCCCGGGGGGAGCGCAGGGCCCUUCCUCGGGUAUUUAAACCCCAGCUCCCACCUGAAUGCACUUGAUUUGGGUGAUUGAAGCUGCCGUUGAGUCAUUCCCUAAUGAGUGAGAGUCCCUGAUCUGAGUGCUCUCAGAGCUGGGGGGCAGGAGCAAUGGGGUGCUUCCCAGUCACAGAGCAGCUGGUGAGGCCCGGGAUGUCCCACAUCCCCCUGGAUGCACCAGCUCCGUCUGUCGCAUCCUGCUGAAGGAGAAAGCCUGACCUGCAGAGUACAUCCACAGGGCUCAGAUCCCAGGGGUGGGACAGGGGAUUUGCAGGAUUCACUCCUG